rnacentral:rRNA from 1 species
AACAAACGCUGGCGGCAUGCCUAACACAUGCAAGUCGAACGAGACCUUCGGGUCUAGUGGCGCACGGGUGCGUAACGCGUGGGAACCUGCCCUUAGGUUCGGAAUAACUCCCCGAAAGGGGUGCUAAUACCGGAUAAUGUCUUCGGACCAAAGAUUUAUCGCCUUUGGAUGGGCCCGCGUUGGAUUAGCUUGUUGGUAGGGUAAAAGCCUACCAAGGCGACGAUCCAUAGCUGGUCUGAGAGGAUGAUCAGCCACACUGGGACUGAGACACGGCCCAGACUCCUACGGGAGGCAGCAGUGGGGAAUAUUGGACAAUGGGCGAAAGGCUGAUCCAGCAAUGCCGCGUGAGUGAUGAAGGCCUUAGGGUUGUAAAGCUCUUUUACCCGGGAUGAUAAUGACAGUACCGGGAGAAUAAGCUCCGGCUAACUCCGUG